rnacentral:rRNA from 1 species
GACGAACCGUGCGAACGUUGUUCGGAAUCACUGGGCUUAAAGGGCGCGUAGGCGGGUCUGCAAGUCCGGGGUGAAAGCCCCCAGCUCAACUGGGGAAGUGCCUUGGAAACUGCGGGUCUUGAGGGAGGUAGGGGCAUGUGGAACUUCGGGUGGAGCGGUGAAAUGCGUUGAUAUCGAGAGGAACACCUGCGGCGAAGGCGG